UCUGACAGAGAGAGCCUCAGAUCGGCUGCAGCUGUUCUUGACCCGAUGACUUCUGGCUUCGUGGAAGGAGUUGUUUAUCGCCCGCGAGUUACGAACGCACCGUAGGCAGCUGGGAGAUGCGUUAAGCAGCAGGUCCGGUGUGGACAGUCACCCCUCGGAUCAGCUGAGAAUUCUGACCUUGGGUCAAACCAGUUUGUGUUUUGACCUCUUCCUUUCGAGUGUGUAUUUUAAUGACUUGAAAUUCCCCCCCUUGGGUUAUCUACGUCACUCUCUUUUGAUAGACAGAAAGAAGAAGGAAUAUCAGUGGCCUCCUUUUCGAGGACUGUGACUCAACCAUCACAGAACAGCAAGAAGCACAUCAGAUGCCACCCUCAAUGACUCCAAAAGACAACCCUAGGAACGGCUUCUAUGAAACAGAGCAACUCGUGUGGGGAUGGAUCUCGCCACCAGCCCCAGGAAGAUCUUUAUCACCCCUUUAAGCUUCCGGUAGUGCCAGACAAAUUUUGGUUUGUGACAGUGUCCCCUCCACUCUCUUUCUCGGGCACAUGCCUUCUCUUUGGUAAACUCACAUUUCCUGGGUUAUUUUGACCAGCCCUACUUCCCCAUGCUGAGUGGUUCACUAUUAAAAAUCACUUGUACAACACCAGCCUUCCCCACCAGACUAUCAUUCUGACAUGCGCAAGAUGCGUGCCUGUCUUUCUCCUGGACGCAAGUCCAGUGCCCAGUGCACAGCCUGCUGAGGAAUAGUCAUACGUCAGAUACUUACGGAAUGAAAAAAAAAAAGACAAUAGACACAAACCUUCACCAUUCCGUGAACACAAGAAGUCUGGUAAUAAGAAACAAGAAGAAGCAGAGGGCUGAAUGGAUGGCAGGCAAUCACCAGCUGGUUGUAAAGACAAAAGAGGCUGGGUUCUCUCACCCUUGGGAGGGGGCGAGCAGGGCAGAAGGGUUCUGGACACUCUUGUUCACCUAGCAACCUGACUUAAUGGGCAGAACUCCAAGGUUGGCUGCCUUGUCCCCACUUCACUGAUGUUUGAGUGUCCAAAUGGCCUGAGACCCACAAAGUCUAUAUGUAGCUGUGAUGUUUGCACCCAAGACCAUGUAGCUUCACAGAUGGGAGGCAAGACUCUGUAGACCCGGGCAAGGCUAUGCCCAACCUCAGUCAAGACUGCUGCUCGCUCCCCUUGGAUUGUAAAUGGGUUUUUGCUCACAGUCGGAAGAAUGAAGCACCCAGAUUGGAACUCGAGGCCCCCAGGGUCCAAGGGAGGAAGCACCUCUGACCUCACCUUUCCAGUGAGCUGGGGUAGCAGUCAGGGCUUGCAGAGAGGGCUAUUGCAGUUUCCUUUCUGUCCUCAAGUCUUCACCAUGCUCUCCCAGAUCAGCUUGUAGAGACACUAGCCAGACUGGCAGGGGUCCCGGAGAGGAGGGUACCAGCUGGAGCCUGCUUCAACAGCACAGCCAGAGUUGCGCACAGCAGGGCUGGGGCUGCCUGUCUUUCCUGGUUGCAGCCAGAGGCUGGCUGUCCCCAGUGGAUUCUUUCCAUUUGUAAUCCUAGUCUCUGUUCGCUUUGCCCAGACAUCCCACCCUCGGAGGACGGUGCCAUUGUGUGCCCCUGGUAUGGAAGAGUUGUAUUAGUCCUGGCUUGUAUUCCUUGUUGUAGAAACUUCUGGGGACACUGAUAGAGAGAUCCCUCACGCGAAGCUUUUGCUCCCAGCCCCCAUUUGUCAGUGUCUGAACAUAACCACUUAUGCACGACUAAAGAUGCUAACUGG
rnacentral:lncRNA from 1 species